rnacentral:rRNA from 1 species
AUACGGAGGGUGCGAGCGUUAUUCGGAAUUAUUGGGCGUAAAGAGCGCGUAGGCGGCCUUACAAGUCAGGUGUGAAAUCCCGGGGCUCAACCCCGGAAGGGCAUUUGAUACUGCAGGGCUUGAGUAUGGGAGAGGGAAGUGGAAUUCCUGGUGUAGCGGUGAAAUGCGUAGAUAUCAGGAGGAACACCGGUGGCGAAGGCGGCUUCCUGGACCAAUACUGACGCUGAGGCGCGAAGGCGUGGGGAGC